GUGCUCGCUUCAGCAGCACAUAUACUAAAAUUGGAACGAUACAGAGAAGAUUAGCAUGGCCCCUGCGCAAGAAGCAGAUCUGAAGUGUGUGAGAACUGGCCGUUCUUC